UACGUAGGGUGCAAGCGUUAAUCGGAAUUACUGGGCGUAAAGCGUGCGCAGGCGGUUAUGCAAGACAGAGGUGAAAUCCCCGGGCUCAACCUGGGAACUGCCUUUGUGACUGCAUGGCUAGAGUACGGUAGAGGGGGAUGGAAUUCCGCGUGUAGCAGUGAAAUGCGUGGAUAUGCGGAGGAACACCGAUGGCGAAGGCAAUCCCCUGGACCUGUACUGACGCUCAUGCACGAAAGCGUGGGGAGCAAACAGG
rnacentral:rRNA from 1 species